GGUUCAUUCAAAUUUCUGCCCUAUCAACUUUCGAUGGCAGGUCUUGGGCCUGCCAUGGUUACAACGGGUAACGGAGGGUUAGGGCUCGACCCGGGAGAAGGAGCCUGAGAAACGGUAUACAUCCAAGGAAGGCAGAGGGCGCAAAUUACCCAAUCCCGAUCGGGGAGGUAGUGACAAUAAAUACUCGAACAGGGCUCUUUUGGGUCUUGUAAUUGGAAUGAGUACAAUUUAAAUCCCUUAAGAGGAACAAUUGGAGGGCAAGUCUGGUGCCAGAAGCGGGUAAUUCCAGUCCAAUAGCGUAUAUUAAAGUUAGUGAAGAUAAAAAGCUCGUAGUCG
rnacentral:rRNA from 1 species